UCCGGCCAUUUCACGUUGAAACACCUUUUCCCGUACGAUUACAAAAGCAAAGCAACGUCGUGCCUGAUCAGUAUCUAGAUGAGUGACCACUUGGGUAUACCAGGUGCUGUAAG